CUGGACGGCCAGAGGAGCCUGGUUCUACCGGAUCCCAUUCCGAACUCCGCAGUCAAGCAGGCUUCCGUUCCUGGGAGUACUGCACUCGCGUGCGGGAAGCCAGGGAAGCUGUCCGCC
rnacentral:rRNA from 1 species